UACGUAGGUGGCAAGCGUUGUCCGGAUUUACUGGGCGUAAGGAGCGCGCAGGCGGUCGUUCAAGUCGCGUGUGAAAGCCCCCGGCUCAACUGGGGAGGGUCACGCGAUACUGAUCGACUCGAAGGCAGGAGAGGGUAGUGGAAUUCCCGGUGUAGUGGUGAAAUUCGUAGAUAUCGAGAGGAACACCGGUGGCGAAGGCGGCCUUCUGGACAGUGACUGACGCUGAGACGCGAAAGCGUGGGGAGCAAACAGG
rnacentral:rRNA from 1 species